UUUAAAGAGAGUUUGAUCCUGGCUCAGGACGAACGCUGGCGGCGUGCCUAAUACAUGCAAGUCGAACGAACGGAGGAAGAGCUUGCUCUUCCAAAGUUAGUGGCGGACGGGUGAGUAACACGUGGGCAACCUGCCUGUAAGUUGGGGAUAACUCCGGGAAACCGGGGCUAAUACCGAAUGAUAAAGUGUGGCGCAUGCCACGCUUUUGAAAGAUGGUUUCGGCUAUCGCUUACAGAUGGGCCCGCGGUGCAUUAGCUAGUUGGUAGGGUAAUGGCCUACCAAGGCAACGAUGCAUAGCCGACCUGAGAGGGUGAUCGGCCACACUGGGACUGAGACACGGCCCAGACUCCUACGGGAGGCAGCAGUAGGGAAUCUUCCGCAAUGGACGAAAGUCUGACGGAGCAACGCCGCGUGUAUGAAGAAGGUUUUCGGAUCGUAAAGUACUGUUGUUAGAGAAGAACAAGGAUAAGAGUAACUGCUUGUCCCUUGACGGUAUCUAACCAGAAAGCCACGGCUAACUACGUGCCAGCAGCCGCGGUAAUACGUAGGUGGCAAGCGUUGUCCGGAUUUAUUGGGCGUAAAGCGCGCGCAGGCGGUCUUUUAAGUCUGAUGUGAAAGCCCCCGGCUUAACCGGGGAGGGUCAUUGGAAACUGGAAGACUGGAGUGCAGAAG
rnacentral:rRNA from 1 species